UACGAAGGGGCGUAGCGUUGUUCGGAAUUACUGGGCGUAAAGGGCGUGUAGGCGGACCUGCAAGUCAGGGGUGAAAUCCCGGGGCUCAACCUCGGAAUGGCCUUUGAGACUGCGGGUCUUGAGGACGGGAGAGGGUCGUGGAAUUCCCAGUGUAGAGGUGAAAUUCGUAGAUAUUGGGAAGAACACCGGUGGCGAAGGCGGCGACCUGGACCGUAUCUGACGCUGAGGCGCG
rnacentral:rRNA from 1 species